GCUAUAGCUCAGUCAGUAGAGCAUGAGACUCUUAAUCUGAGGGUCCUGUGUUUGAGCCCCAUGUUGAGCA